CCUACGGGAGACAGCAGUGGGGAAUAUUGCGCAAUGGGCGAAAGCCUGACGCAGCGACGCCGCGUGAGGGAUGAAGGCCCUCUGAUUGGUAAACUUCGUUUGUUGGGAAGAAGUUGCCUGUGCCCAAUCACCUCUGCAUUUACCGUAUCUUCAAAGGUAGCAUCGGCUAACGCCGUGCCAGCAGCCGCGGUAAUACGGAGGGUGCGAGCGUUAAUCGGAAUUACUGGGCGUAAAGGGCACGUAGGCUGUAUGUCAAGUCGAGGGUGAAAGCCCACGGCUCAACCGUGGCACUGCCUUUGAAACUGGCGAGCUGGAGUAUAGGAGAGGUAGGCGGAAUUCCUGGUGUAGCGGUGAAAUGCGUAGAUAUCAGGAGGAACAUCGGUGGCGAAGGCGGCCGACUGGAACGAAACUGACGCUGAGGUGCGAAAGCGUGGGUAGCAAACAGGAUUAGAUACCCUAGUAGUC
rnacentral:rRNA from 1 species